AGUAGUCAUGGCCCGCUAGCAAUCGAUUGAGUGUUCGUACUUCAAUAUUGUUUAACGGUAGCUUGUGGUGCCAGGGCUUCUUAGGGAUUGUGUUGCAAACCUGGAAAAACUUCCUCCCUUUUCCAAGUUCUGCGGUGUAAUUGAGAUACCAUAGUUGAGCUUCCUAUAUUGUCGCUGGUGGUGCCGGCCUUGGCCAACUGGUCCGCCAUAUCGUUGCCUUUGACGCCAGUGUGCCCGGGUAUCCACUGUAUAGUUGUUCCGGAUUUCGUAGCCAUUUCCAGGAUAUUGUCUAUGACUCGAUCUCGGUCUCGUUUGGCGAUGUUGCUUCUAAUCAAUUCACAUCCAGAUUUGGAAUCCGUCAUGAUCACUGGGCUCGUUAUGUUGCUUCUUGUGAUGUACUGCAGUGCGACGUAUAUUGCCUCUAUUUCGGCUGACAUAAUGCACACAGAGUGCUGCAAACGAAGACUUAUCCUGACGUUCCUGGAUUCGUGGUAAAUUCCAAUGCCACAGUUUUCACCGUUGUCUGAGGCAUCAGUAUAGAUGAUUUGUCGAUUAUUAUAUGUUCCGUUUAUCAGCGAUAGGAAAUCAAAAUGGCGUCCGAGACACGUUUUUCUUCACUCCGAAAAAAAUAACACGUCCGUCACGAUCGAGAUCUACCAAACGAAAACCGAUAUUU
rnacentral:lncRNA from 1 species